CGACCUACGGGGGGCGCAGUGAGGAAUAUUGGUCAAUGGGAGAGAUCCUGAACCAGCCAAGCCGCGUGAGGGAAGACGGCCCUAUGGGUUGUAAACCUCUUUUGUCGGAGAACAAAACCCGGGACGUGUCCCGGACUGCGUGUAUCCGAAGAAAAAGCAUCGGCUAACUCCGUGCCAGCAGCCGCGGUAAUACGUAGGGGGCAAGCGUUAUCCGGAAUUACUGGGUGUAAAGGGAGCGUAGACGGCUGUGCAAGUCUGGAGUGAAAGGCGGGGGCCCAACCCCCGGACUGCUCUGGAAACUGUAU
rnacentral:rRNA from 1 species